GUCCGCCAGCUCACGACUGGCCUCCCCAGGCCACAUUCUUGCGCUAAGUGCGAGAGGCUGUGGGAAAAGCAAUCCCGAACCGGCCAAGAGCCGGCGAAGCUGAUCCCGCGAUGGCAUUUUGUUUUGAACAGUUGCUGGGGUUGACGUUUCCUCAUAAGGGGACAGGACCAAGUGGAGCAUCAUUACUCCCUGAAUGCCUGGGGUUCUUUGUUGCUUCUACAUUCAGCCUUAUUUGGAUUUAGCUACAAUCCGAGCAGAAGUUCGGAAAGGUCACUUUCAUGAAUUCAAAGGCAAUUUACCAGUGAUUUCUGGGUGCUGGGGCUGAUUUUUUUUUGUGCGUA
rnacentral:lncRNA from 1 species